UAGUCCACGCCGUAAACGAUGUCAACUAGCCGUUUGGGACACUAAGUCCUUGGUGGCGCAGCUAACGCGAUAAGUUGACCGCCUGGGGAGUACGCCGGCAACGGUAAAACUCAAAGGAAUUGACGGGGACCCGCACAAGCGGUGGAGCAUGUGGUUUAAUUCGAUGCAACGCGAAAAACCUUACCUACCCUUGACAUCCUCAGAACUUGUUAGAGAUAACUUGGUGCCUUCGGGAACUGAGUGACAGGUGCUGCAUGGCUGUCGUCAGCUCGUGUCGUGAGAUGUUGGGUUAAGUCCCGCAACGAGCGCAACCCUUGUCCUUAGUUGCCAGCAUUCAGUUGGGCACUCUAAGGAGACUGCCGGUGACAAACCGGAGGAAGGUGGGGAUGACGUCAAAUCAUCAUGCCCCUUAUGACCUGGGGCUACACACGUGCUACAAUGGAUAGAACAAAGGGCAGCGAAGCCGCGAGGUGAAG
rnacentral:rRNA from 1 species